ACCUCUCUCUCUCUCUCUACUUUAUUUUUUUUUAUCUGUUAAUUAUGUUAUAUCAGAAAUCAAUCCUCUGUAGUUAGAUUUAGUUUUAUAAUCUCAGUAUAUAUGUAUAUAUAUAACCAAUUUGUUAUUAGGUUUUGGCAUUUGGGGCAAAGAAGAUUAGCUAAAUCCAAUAGUUGUUCACUGAAGAUUGGUAUUUGAUCAGAACCAUAGGGCAUAGACGAUGACAAAAGAACUCUAAUACCAAUGAUGGAUUAGUAAACCAUUUCAUCAAAGCUACUCUUCAGAUCAAAUCCUACAGGAUUAAGGAAUGAUUCUUUCAAACUUAAAAAACUUUUGUAGGCCAGUACUUGGCAUCAUGUUUUGCUUUCUUUCUGCAUAGUCUUUCUUGUAUAGUGCUGAUUAAUAAGAGUAACUCCUCAUUCUUGUC